rnacentral:rRNA from 1 species
AGAGUUUGAUUCUGGCUCAGGACGAACGCUGGCGGCGUGCUUAACACAUGCAAGUCGAACGAUGAAGCCGGGGCUUUGCUUUGGUGGAUUAGUGGCGAACGGGUGAGUAAUACGUGAGCAACCUGCCCUCCGCUUCGGGAUAAGCCCUGGAAACGGGGUCUAAUACCGGAUGUUUCCUUCCUUCCGCAUGGUUGGUUGGGGAAAGGUUUCUUCUGGCGGGGGAUGGGCUCGCGGCCUAUCAGCUUGUUGGUGGGGUGAUGGCCUACCAAGGCGUCGACGGGUAGCCGGCCUGAGAGGGUGACCGGCCACAUUGGGACUGAGAUACGGCCCAGACUCCUACGGGAGGCAGCAGUGGGGGAUAUUGCGCAAUGGGCGGAAGCCUGACGCAGCGACGCCGCGUGGGGGAUGAAGGCUUUCGGGUUGUAAACCCCUUUCGGCCAGGAACAAGGCAGGGUUUCCUGUUGAGGGUACUGGCAUAAGAAGCGCCGGCUAACUACGUGCCAGCAGCCGCGGUAAUACGUAGGGCGCGAGCGUUGUCCGGAAUUAUUGGGCGUAAAGGGCUCGUAGGCGGCCUGUUGCGCCUGCCGUGAAAACGCGGGGCUCAACCCCGCGCGUGCGGUGGGUACGGGCAGGCUGGAGUGCGGUAGGGGUGACUGGAAUUCCCGGUGUAGCGGUGGAAUGCGCAGAUAUCGGGAGGAACACCGAUGGCGAAGGCAGGUCACUGGGCCGUUACUGACGCUGAGGAGCGAAAGCAUGGGGAGCGAACAGGAUUAGAUACCCUGGUAGUCCAUGCCGUAAACGUUGGGCGCUAGGUGUGGGGGCCUCUUCCGGCUUCUGCGCCGCAGCUAACGCAUUAAGCGCCCCGCCUGGGGGAGUACGGGCCGCAAGGCUAAAACUCAAAAGGAAUUGACGGGGGCCCGCACAAGCGGCGGAGCAUGCGGAUUAAUUCGAUGCAACGCGAAGAACCUUACCAAGGCUUGACAUGCGCCGGAAGCCCGCAGAGAUGCGGGUGUCUUCGGACUGGCGUGCAGGUGGUGCAUGGUUGUCGUCAGCUCGUGUCGUGAGAUGUUGGGUUAAGUCCCGCAACGAGCGCAACCCCUGUCCCGUGUUGCCAGCGCUUCGGGCGGGGACUCGCGGGAGACUGCCGGGGUCAACUCGGAGGAAGGUGGGGAUGACGUCAAAUCAUCAUGCCCCUUAUGUCUUGGGCUUCACGCAUGCUACAAUGGCCGGUACAGAGGGCUGCGAUGCCGCGAGGCGGAGCGAAUCCCUUAAAGCCGGUCUCAGUUCGGAUCGGGGUCUGCAACUCGACCCCGUGAAGUCGGAGUCGCUAGUAAUCGCAGAUCAGCAACGCUGCGGUGAAUACGUUCUCGGGCCUUGUACACACCGCCCGUCACGUCACGAAAGUCGGCAACACCCGAAGCCCGUGGCCCUACCUUUUUGGGGGGAGCGGUCGAAGGUGGGGUUGGCGAUUGGGACGAAGUCGUAACAAGGUAGCC